rnacentral:lncRNA from 10 species
UUUCUAUUACCUGCUCAACUCCUUCUGUGCAUAGCUCCUGACUGCCGAGCUGGGAAGAACUCCAGUCCUUUCCUAGGCUAGGGAUUUUAACAACGGAACAAAAUCCCAGGUGACAAGGGGAACCACUAAGGUUUCACAAGGCACAGUUUGUGAACAACUGAUUGGAGCCAGCCUCAUCAGGCUAGAUGUACCUAUAGCAACCAGCAUGGAUCUCAAAAACAUAGUACCAAACGAAAUAAGACAGACUGAGAUUCCGGGGGUACACAUGCAUGUUUGUUACAUGGGUAUAUUGUGCAAUGGUAGAGAUUGGACUUCUAGUAUGCAUGUCACCUGAAUAUUGAACAUUGUAUCCAGCAGGUAAUUUUUCACUCUUCAUCUUCCUCUCACCCUCUUUUUUGUGGAGUCCACAGUGUCUACUGUUUCCAACUUUCUGUCCGUGUGUACUCAUUGUUUAGCUCCCACUUAUAAGUGAGAACAUGUGAUAUUUGGUUUUCUGCUACUGAGUUAGUUCACUUAGGAUCACAGCCUCCAGCUUCACUCAUGUUGUUGCAGAGGGCAUGAUUUCAUUCCUUUUAUGGCCGUGUGCUAUUGUAUGGUAUAUAUGUACCACAUAUUCUUUAUUCAAUCGACCACUGAUGGACACAUAGGUUGGUUCAUGACUUUGCUAUUGUUAAUGGUAUUACAACAAACAUAGGAAUGCGGGGGGUUUUUUUUAUAUAAUUGAAUUAAUUUUUAUAUAUGGUAUGAGGUACAAGUUGAGGUUUUUUUCUUUUCCAUGUACAUAUCCAUUUGUCUCAGGACUAUUUAGUGAAAAGAUUGUCCAUUCUCCAUUGGAUUUCCUUUGUUGAAAAUUAAAUGACUAUUUAAGUGA